rnacentral:rRNA from 1 species
UAUACCGUGAAACUGCGAAUGGCUCAUUAAAUCAGUUAUCGUUUAUUUGAUAGUACCUUACUACAUGGAUAACCGUGGUAAUUCUAGAGCUAAUACAUGCUAAAAACCCCGACUUCGGAAGGGGUGUAUUUAUUAGAUAAAAAACCAAUGCCCUUCGGGGCUCCUUGGUGAUUCAUAAUAACUUAACGAAUCGCAUGGCCUUGCGCCGGCGAUGGUUCAUUCAAAUUUCUGCCCUAUCAACUUUCGAUGGUAGGAUAGUGGCCUACCAUGGUUUCAACGGGUAACGGGGUAUUAGGGUACUAUACCGGAGAGGGAGCCUGAGAAACGGCUACCACAUCCAAGGAAGGCAGCAGGCGCGCAAAUUACCCAAUCCCGACACGGGGAGGUAGUGACAAUAAAUACUGAUACAGGGCUCUUUUGGGUCUUGUAAUUGGAAUGAGUACAAUUUAAAUCCCUUAACGAGGAACAAUUGGAGGGCAAGUCUGGUGCCAGCAGCCGCGGUAAUUCCAGCUCCAAUAGCGUAUAUUAAAGUUGUUGCAGUUAAAAAGCUCGUAGUUGAACCUUGGGCCUGGCUGGUCGGUCCGCCUCACCGCGUGCACUGAUCCGGCCGGGCCUUUCCUUCUGGGGAGCCACAUGCCCUUCACUGGGUGUGUCGGGGAACCAGGACUUUUACUUUGAAAAAAUUAGAGUGUUCAAAGCAGGCCUAUGCUCGAAUACAUUAGCAUGGAAUAAUAGAAUAGGACGUUGCGGUUCUAUUUUGUUGGUUUCUAGGACCGCCGUAAUGAUUAAUAGGGAUAGUCGGGGGCGUCAGUAUUGCAAUGUCAGAGGUGAAAUUCUUGGAUUUUUGCAAGACUAACUACUGCGAAAGCAUUCGCCAAGGAUGUUUUCAUUAAUCAGUGAACGAAAGUUAGGGGAUCGAAGACGAUCAGAUACCGUCGUAGUCUUAACCAUAAACUAUGCCGACUAGGGAUCGGGCGAUGUUAUCUUUUUGACUCGCUCGGCACCUUACGAGAAAUCAAAGUCUUUGGGUUCU